rnacentral:tRNA from 2 species
GGCUCCAUAGCUCAAUAGGAUAGAGCAACGGUUUUCUAAACCGUAGGUUCCAGGUUCGAGCCCUGGUGGAGUCA